rnacentral:rRNA from 1 species
UACAGAGGGGGCAAGGCGUUGUUCGGAAUUACUGGGCGUAAAGGGCGCGUAGGCGGCCCGCUAAGUCGAACGUGAAAUCCCCCGAGCUCAACUCGGGAACUGCGUCCGAUACUGGCGGGCUUGAAUCCGGGAGAGGGAUGCGGAAUUCCAGGUGUAGCGGUGAAAUGCGUAGAUAUCUGGAGGAAUACCGGUGGCGAAGGCGGCAUCCUGGACCGGCAUUGACGCUGAUGAGCGAAAAGCUAGGGGGAGCAAACGGGG